UGGGGAAUAUUGGACAAUGGGGGCAACCCUGAUCCAGCAAUGCCGCGUGUGUGAAGAAGGUCUUCGGAUUGUAAAGCACUUUCGACGGGGACGAUGAUGACGGUACCCGUAGAAGAAGCCCCGGCUAACUUCGUGCCAGCAGCCGCGGUAAUACGAAGGGGGCUAGCGUUGCUCGGAAUGACUGGGCGUAAAGGGCGUGUAGGCGGUUUACACAGUCAGAUGUGAAAUCCCCGGGCUUAACCUGGGAGCUGCAUUUGAUACGUGUAGACUAGAGUGUGAGAGAGGGUUGUGGAAUUCCCAGUGUAGAGGUGAAAUUCGUAGAUAUUGGGAAGAACACCGGUGGCGAAGGCGGCAACCUGGCUCAUGACUGACGCUGAGGCGCGAAAGCGUGGGGAGCAAACAGGAUUAGAUACCCUGGUAGUCCACGCUGUAAACGAUGUGUGCUAGAUGUUGGGUAACUUUGUUAUUCAGUGUCGCAGUUAACGCGUUAAGCACACCGCCUGGGGAGUACGGCCGCAAGG
rnacentral:rRNA from 1 species